rnacentral:rRNA from 1 species
AACGGUGUCCGAUGUCGUCGUSUCGUACGCGCGUGCAUCGNUNCCGGUCAGCGACGAAUUCUUCGGGCCUCUUUYCGACCCGUCUUGAAACRCGGACCAAGGAGUNUAACAUGCGCGCGAGUCGCGGGGUGUCGAGCGUACCACGCGUACGUUCGUUACGUUACGAAACCCGUACAUAUNGAAGGCGUAAUGAAAGUAAAUGGRGAAGAUGGUGUGCCGAGUACACGUUCCGCGGUCAUCGGUACCGCGGCCGGCCACCCGCACUCCCAGGGCGUCUCAACGGCCCGUCGCGGAUGCGGACUGUCGUCUCUCGGGGCGGCUGUCGGUCUGCGACGAACCGAGGCGCACCUAUAGCGUGCACGUUGGUACCCGAAAGAUGGUGAACUAUGCCUGGCCAGGAUGAAGUCAGGGGAAACCCUGAUGGAGGUCCGCAGCGAUUCUGACGUGCAAAUCGAUCGUCUGAG